UACGGGGGGGGUAAGCGUUGUUCGGAAUUACUGGGCGUAAAGGGCUCGUAGGCGGCCAACUAAGUCGGACGUGAAAUCCCUCAGCUUAACUGGGGAACUGCGUCCGAUACUGGAUGGCUUGAAUUCGGGAGAGGGAUGCAGAAUUCCAGGUGUAGCGGUGAAAUGCGUAGAUAUCUGGAGGAAUACCGGUGGCGAAGGCGGCAUCCUGGACCGACAUUGACGCUGAUGAGCGAAAGCUAGGGGAGCAAACGGG
rnacentral:rRNA from 1 species